GAUGAACGCUAGCGGGAGGCCUAACACAUGCAAGUCGAACGGGAUUGGUAGCAAUACCAUGAGAGUGGCGCACGGGUGAGUAACGCGUAUGCAACCUACCUUUAACAGAGGGAUAGCCCAUAGAAAUGUGGAUUAAUACCUCAUAGUCCGGGUGAGCUGCAUGUUUUACCAGGUAAAGCUUUUGCGGUUAAAGAUGGGCAUGCGUGACAUUAGCUCGUUGGUGAGGUAACGGCUCACCAAGGCAACGAUGUCUAGGGGUUCUGAGAGGAUGAUCCCCCACACUGGUACUGAGACUCGGACCAGACUCCUACGGGAGGCAGCAGUGAGGAAUAUUGGUCAAUGGGCGCAAGCCUGAACCAGCCAUCCCGCGUGCAGGAUGACGGCCCUAUGGGUUGUAAACUGCUUUUAUACAGGAAGAAAAAUCUCUACGUGUAGGGACUUGCCGGUACUGUAUGAAUAAGCAUCGGCUAACUCCGUGCCAGCAGCCGCGGUAA
rnacentral:rRNA from 1 species